GCUUAAAAUAAGUGAUUUUGAAAAUAAGCUGUUUUGAAAUAAGUGAUUAUAAAGCAAACAGAUCCACUGACUCGGUUCUUACUUAUCAUCGAUUGCUAAUAUCACAAUUCCCUAAGCGGAUUUUCUAUCCUAUUUGAUUACAAUAUCAAUCAACAAGCGUGAUUGACACUAUGAGAAACAUGUUCCUAUUGCCGGAUUAAGCAUACGGUUAUGAAUAGCGCAAAUUAACAAUUAAGCAAAGUUAACAGCGAUUAAAAUUGGGAACACAUAUCAAUCAAAUUAAAUUAACAAUGUUAUAUGAUAAUCGAAUUAAGCAAACAAGAAUCUUAUAACAUAAUUGAAAGGAAUCGAAUCAAAUUACAAAUAUUGUAACAAUCUUAAAGUUUGAAACCUGAGUACAGUGAAUCCGUAAGAAGGUGUUUAGUUCUCCAUGAGUUUGUCAAAAGCUUGGAAAAUUUCGUGAAUAGUAUAUCGAAUGAACAGUAUGCGGCUGCCCCCUAAGGGGAAAUAGUACAACCCGUUUUACAAACCAACUGGGUCAAACAUACGACCCAGGCCCAAAACUAAUGACCCGAAACUUAAAUAAACUAGUGCUGCAACUUCAACGAAUUUUCUGGCCCUGCUACAUUCCGAUUCUGACUUCGACUCCAACAUAAGAAUUAUAGCUCUUUCUCUUAGCUUUCCGGCGAUUAUUAGAACGCCUCAAUCGGACUCCUGGAACUCCACUUAUGAUCGGUUCCGUGCAGACUGCUAAAGCUGAAAAUUAAAUACGAAAAUCAAAUAACAAUAAAAAUAAAUUAAAAUAUAAAAACAUUAUAAAAUACAAAAAUAAGACAAGCAAACCAUGGAAAUGAAUAAGUACAAAUGUAGAGGAAUGUGCAUCAAAAUGCACUGAUCACCAAAACAGGAUUAAUGGUUAAUUAAAAAAUGGAGUGAAAAACAAGUGUCAGGAAUGAGAGAUAAGAUUUACACCCGCUCCUCUUUGGCCAAAGGAAGUACCUGCAAAAAUAUGAUAAUAAUAAGAAUAAGAAUAACAAUAAAAAUAAUAAUAGUAAUAAUAACCUGAUUUGGCCAAAUACCAAAAGGUUUUUGGCCAAAUACAAAUAACCUUGAUUUGGCCAAAUACCAAAAGAUUUUUGGCCAAACACGAAUAACCUUGAUUUGGCCAAAAGCCAAAAGACUUUUGGCCAAAAAACACUCGGGAUACCCCUUGAGGUCAAGGGAUAAAGCUCCUUCCACUUGGUCAAUCCAUAUGAAACAUGUUCAUAAACUGAUUAUAAAUCAUUUAAAUAAGAAUACGAAGCUACAAAUUUUUUGAGAUUUUUCUGAAAAUAUGAAAAUAGAAAUUAAAUCGAAUAAAAUAGAAAAACGAGGAAUUUGCGAUUUUGAGCGUCGAAAUCCUUUAGAAUUCUAAAGGAGUAUUGUUCCUCGAUUUUUUCUGAACUUCUGGAAAAAUUCGGCAGAUAGGCUGGAAAAUUUAUCACUCUGCUGCAACCAGAAUUAGAGUGACGGAAGAUUAUUCGUGACGGUCAGAAACGAUAGUAAAGGGUUUUUUGUGGAUGGGUGUAAAAUUAUGAGAGUUGUUGAUUGUUAGUGUAUGGGAAUGAAGAAUUUGGUAGAGGUGAAUGGUUGGUGAAUAAGGGUUGUUAGUUAUUUAUAAGUGUCGCACGCUCGCGAAAAUGUGAACAGAGUCGCCACCAAUAUAUUUAUCCCAUCAAGGGAAAGGAACAUCAGAAAACCUUGAAUAAAGAAAGGAUAAGAAAAGGUCUUUCGACCAGAGAUAGGGUACGGGAGUCGGUUACGCAAGGGGAAGGUACUAGCACCCCUCACGCCCAUCGUACUCGAUGGUAUCCACCUAUGUUUGUUGCUAUCUAAAGGGUGUAUAAAUCUAUAGCUUAAUGCUAAGGGAAUGCAUGCAAAUGAAAGAAGAAGAAACACGGGGAAAAUAAGGGUUUAUAAAUAGUUGUGCUCGCUUAGGCCCCGCGACCUAAUGCCUACGUAUCCUUUUCAGGAAUCAGAGCGCCGUAGUUCGGCUCACAUGUUUUAGUUUGUUUUUGUGUUUUUUAGUUGAACAGUUACAUUCGCACUCCGCUGCUCGACCUCUGGAGUCUUAAGCUGGGAAUGGAGCGGAAAUAACGUGUCCGAUUAAGGGAAAGAAUGCCUCGGAGGCGAGAGAAAGAAUAGAGAGAUUUGUCGAGCGUUUCGGGUGUACCCCUUAAACAAGGGAGACUCGAAUUACUCUUGUUGGUGUUUUUUAAGAUUGGGAACUUCCACUCAAGUGAUCCCCUUAAACAAGAGGGACGAGAGUUUCCAUUCCCUUUUUCAUUAGUCAAGCAUUUAUUAGUCAUUUUUAGGUGUUUUCUUGGUAUCUUUUAAGGGAAAUUAAGUCAAGUAUUGGUUAAGUGUUUUAAAGUUGAAAAGGAAAAGAAAUGAGAAACUAGCCUAAUAUGAAUCAACUAGCCUAAUGUUAAAAUGAGAAUUUCUAGAUCCUAAUGUCAUCAUGGUUUCUACCUAAGGUUAGGAAUUAAGGAGACAUGGAAAUAAAAUCACAAUUAGAAGUCAACAAGUAGGAUACAUGAAAAUAGUACAAGAGCAUGAAAUAGAACAAGUCAAAACAUGGUGCAAAAGUGAAUUAAAAAUACUACUAUUUUUAUAUUGAUUUUUAUGAAAGAGAAUUGGAUUACAAGUCAAGUAAAAAGACUAAAAACAAAUAGCCUAAAACUACUAUUUUUAAUGGAUUAUUUCUCAUGUAAAAAAAUUGUACUAAAAGUCUAAAAAAAAAAGCAAAAAUGGUCAUUUUAUUGCCUAAAAGAAAGUGGGAAAAAUCUAAGUAAAAAGACCUAAAAUUUACUAAUUUUGUGAGUCAGAGGGGGGUGCAUAUUGAAAUUAUAGUGCAGUAAGUAAUGGGAGCAGGACCCAUGGGAGUUAGGCCCAGCAGAAUAUUUUUGUUCGGAUUUCUUGUAUGUCAAAAACGGUGGCGUGAUGGGCCUACUGAUGGGGUGUGAGCAGUGAUUCGUGUGGCCCAAUUGAUGAUCCAGCAGAAAUUAACUAAAUUAGAUUUUAUUAUUUGGUUUUAAUAAAAUGAUUUAAUCUCCAUUAACAACUCAGAUUAACACUAAUCGUGCAUAUUAAACCCCUAGAACUCAAUCAAUUCAAUAUUAAUCUCAAUUAAUAAAAAACAAAAGAAAGGGGUAAUUAGGGUUUGUUGUUGAGUGACCAUUGAACUUCAUCCUCACACUUUGUCCCCUUCCUUCACUCACGAACGAAAGCAGCGGUGGUACGGCGGAGGAACUCGUCUUCUCCGGCCGAAACCUGAUCUCGCCGUCAUACCUCUCCCCUAUUUUCCAUCUCAGUCCCCUAUCUACCUUGUUUUGAUCUCUCGGUUCGUCCUCAAAUUAUUUCAAAAUCCUAGAUUUCGUAAAGCAUCAAGCUCAAGCCAUAACAAUUCGACUUCAUUCAAUUGAAAGAGAGUAGAGAUACUUACCUGUGAUGAAGAAUCAGUGUAAGGUGAAGAGAAAAUCCAGAACGUAGAAUCCAAUUGCGCUUGGCGAAAUAAACGCGAUUAAUUCUUGAUCCAGGUCGUUAGGCAUUGUUAUAACGAAGAUGGUGAUGUUGCUUCUUGAUGAAAUUAGAUGAUGAAUGGAGUUGUUGAUUGAAUGUGAAGAAGGUGAAAGAGAGCGUGAAGAUUGAGAGGGAGAGAAUGAAGAUGAAUGGUGAUGGAGAGUUGAUGUGUAGAAAUAGUUGAAGGUUGUGAUGAAGUUAUGAAUGGUGAAUGUGGCGAGAGAAAGAAGAACAAAAAUGGGGAAGCAAAAGUGGUGGAGAGUGGUUCAGAGAUGAAGAUUGUGAUGAAUGAAUGGAGGAGUGAAGACUAGUUAAUGGUAAUAAUGGUGAUCUCUGAAGAAAAUGGUGAUGAAGUGAAGAUGAUGGUUACAGAGGUGGUGAAGAAGGUGAAUGAAGAAUGGUGGAGAGUGGGGAUUGGCAGAGUUGAAGAAGGUGAUUAUGGAGUAAUGAAGAUGAAGCUGGGAGAAUAAGAUGAAGACGUGAAGGUGAGUGUUCAAGUGGGGAUCCAAGAAGAAUUCAUAGAUGAGGAACUAUGUUUAUAUAGAGGUUUGAAGGAGCUUUCAGGAUUUUUGUAGUUGCAGUACAAGUCUCAGCUUGGUUCAGAAAUAUUGCCGUGGGAUUCUCGGUUUGAUCUUUGGAGCUGCUGUAGGAUGGGUUUGCUUCGCAGGUAGCAGCAGGCUCUGUGAAUGGCGGCAUGUCGUCUUUUUUUAUUGAAGCUUUGAUUGCAAAGGCCGGAUGUUGGAAAAUUAUGCAGAGUUUGGAGGUGGUUUAAUUUCUGUUUUGUAAUUGAGUGGCACUGUAAUGUGGUUAUGUGCAGGGCAGUGGUAACUUGUUCUUUUCCUCAUUUUGUGUUGAUUUCAUGGUGUGGAAUGUAGGUAAUUGGAUUUGUUCGUCUUUGUAACAUGGAUGCCUUGAAGGCACUUUAGACUUAGGAUAGAAACAUGAAUCCUCUCUGCCUGUGAAUGAUGGAGUGUAAAAUGGAAAUGAUAAUUGAAACAUUUGAACCUUGUAAUGUAAAUAUUUCUUUUUCAAAAGAGAUUUGAAUCUCCUUUUUCUCUCCAAGUGCCUAAUUAUAGAUCUUUAACACUUCCCACCAAUUCUUGCAAUCUUGGAUAAGCAUAGAUGAGAUAAAGAACCAACGUAAAUAUUUAAGAAGGACUUUUGGGUAAAAAGUCAACUUUCUAAGGUUGACUUUGACCAAAAGUCACAACUUUGACGAAAUGCCUUGAAAUGAAUCUAAAACUCCACAUAAAUUCAAAUUAAAUCCUUGCGUGGCACCCAAAAUCUUGACUUGUACAACACAUAUUCAGUUGAACCAGGCUUGUGUAAUGAAAUGAAUUAGAUGAAAUCUUAAUGCCAGUCAACCUCAAUUGAAAUACCUUUGUCAAAUUCAAACUUAACGGAUAAAACCUUAUUC